UCAGUACAUAGCUGGGUAUUAAUUUUGUGCUGCGCAGCUGUAAAUUUAAAAGAAGUGACCAAGUAAUUUGGGGCUUGUUUAUUCACUAUAUUAAACAUAUGAUUUAAUUUUAAUUGUUGAACUCUGAGCUCAUCAGGCAACAUACUGACCAUUCUAAAUUCGGCUAGGCCUAUGUGGGUCCGGGGUUGUGCAGAGAGGAGAAAGCCAAUGA